rnacentral:rRNA from 1 species
AUGAACGCUGGCGGCGUGCCUAACACAUGCAAGUCGAACGAAGCACCUUACCUGAUUCUUCGGAUGAAGGUCUGGUGACUGAGUGGCGGACGGGUGAGUAACGCGUGGGUAACCUGCCCUGUACAGGGGGAUAACAGCUGGAAACGGCUGCUAAUACCGCAUAAGCGCACGAGGAGACAUCUCCUUGUGUGAAAAACUCCGGUGGUACAGGAUGGGCCCGCGUCUGAUUAGCUGGUUGGCAGGGUAACGGCCUACCAAGGCAACGAUCAGUAGCCGGUCUGAGAGGAUGAACGGCCACAUUGGAACUGAGACACGGUCCAAACUCCUACGGGAGGCAGCAGUGGGGAAUAUUGCACAAUGGGGGAAACCCUGAUGCAGCAACGCCGCGUGAGUGAAGAAGUAUUUCGGUAUGUAAAGCUCUAUCAGCAGGGAAGAUAAUGACGGUACCUGACUAAGAAGCUCCGGCUAAAUACGUGCCAGCAGCCGCGGUAAUACGUAUGGAGCAAGCGUUAUCCGGAUUUAUUGGGUGUAAAGGGUGCGUAGGUGGCAGUGCAAGUCAGAUGUGAAAGGCCGGGGCUCAACCCCGGAGCUGCAUUUGAAACUGCAUAGCUAGAGUACAGGAGAGGCAGGCGGAAUUCCUAGUGUAGCGGUGAAAUGCGUAGAUAUUAGGAGGAACACCAGUGGCGAAGGCGGCCUGCUGGACUGUUACUGACACUGAGGCACGAAAGCGUGGGGAGCAAACAGGAUUAGAUACCCUGGUAGUCCACACCGUAAACGAUGGAUACUAGGUGUAGGGGAUGAAUAAUCUUCUGUGCCGUCGCAAACGCAGUAAGUAUCCCACCUGGGGAGUACGGCCGCAAGGUUGAAACUCAAAGGAAUUGACGGGGGCCCGCACAAGCAGUGGAGUAUGUGGUUUAAUUCGACGCAACGCGAAGAACCUUACCAGGGCUUGACAUAUAGAGGAAUAACUAAGAAAUUAGUUAGCUCUUCGGAGUCUCUAUACAGGUGGUGCAUGGUUGUCGUCAGCUCGUGUCGUGAGAUGUUGGGUUAAGUCCCGCAACGAGCGCAACCCCUAUCUUCAGUAGCCAGCAGGUAAGGCUGGGCACUCUGGAGAGACUGCCAGGGAUAACCUGGAGGAAGGUGGGGACGACGUCAAAUCAUCAUGCCCCUUAUGAUCUGGGCGACACACGUGCUACAAUGGCGGUCACAGAGUGAGGCGAACCCGCGAGGGGGAGCAAACCACAAAAAGGCCGUCCCAGUUCGGACUGUAGUCUGCAACCCGACUACACGAAGCUGGAAUCGCUAGUAAUCGCGAAUCAGAAUGUCGCGGUGAAUACGUUCCCGGGUCUUGUACACACCGCCCGUCACACCAUGGGAGUCGGAAAUGCCCGAAGCCAGUGACCCAACCUUUUGGAGGGAGCUGUCGAAGGUGGAGCCGGUAACUGGGGUG